GACGAACGCUGGCGGCGUGCUUAACACAUGCAAGUCGAACGGUUAUACUCCAGCUUGCUGGAGUGGAUCAGUGGCGAACGGGUGAGUAACACGUGAGCAACCUGCCCCAGACUCUGGAAUAAGCGCUGGAAACGGCGUCUAAUACUGGAUACGAAACUGGCCCGCAUGGGCAUGGUUUGGAAAGUUUUUCGGUUUGGGAUGGGCUCGCGGCCUAUCAGCUUGUUGGUGAGGUAAUGGCUCACCAAGGCGACGACGGGUAGCCGGCCUGAGAGGGCGACCGGCCACACUGGGACUGAGACACGGCCCAGACUCCUACGGGAGGCAGCAGUGGGGAAUAUUGCACAAUGGGCGAAAGCCUGAUGCAGCGACGCCGCGUGAGGGAUGACGGCCUUCGGGUUGUAAACCUCUUUCAGCAGGGAAGAAGCGAAAGUGACGGUACCUGCAGAAGAAGCACCGGCUAACUACGUG
rnacentral:rRNA from 1 species